rnacentral:rRNA from 1 species
CAUGCAAGUCGAGCGGUAGCACAGAGAGCUUGCUCUCGGGUGACGAGCGGCGGACGGGUGAGUAAUGUCUGGGAAACUGCCUGAUGGAGGGGGAUAACUACUGGAAACGGUAGCUAAUACCGCAUAAUGUCGCAAGACCAAAGUGGGGGACCUUCGGGCCUCAUGCCAUCAGAUGUGCCCAGAUGGGAUUAGCUAGUAGGUGGGGUAACGGCUCACCUAGGCGACGAUCCCUAGCUGGGCUGAGAGGAUGACCAGCCACACUGGAACUGAGACACGUUCCAGACUCAUACGGGAGGCAGCAGUGGGGAAUAUUGCACAAUGGGCGCAAGCCUGAUGCAGCCAUGCCGCGUGCGUGAAGAAGGCCUUCGGCUUGUAAAGCACGUUCAGCGGGGAGGAAGGCGAUGAGGUUAAUAACCUCGUCGAUUGACGUUAACCGCAGAAGAAGCACCGGCUAACUCCGUGCCAGCAGCCGCGGUAAUACGGAGGGUGCAAGCGUUAAUCGGAAUUACUGGGCGUAAAGCGCACGCAGGCGGUCUGUCAAGUCGGAUGUGAAAUCCCCGGGCUCAACCUGGGAACUGCAUUCGAAACUGGCAGGCUAGAGUCUUGUAGAGGGGGGUAGAAUUCCAGGUGUAGCUGUGAAAUGCGUAGAGAUCUGGAGGAAUACCGGUGGCGAAGGCGGCCCCCUGGACAAAGACUGACGCUCAGGUGCGAAAGCGUG